rnacentral:rRNA from 1 species
AUGCAAGUCGAGCGGACUUGAUGGAGUGCUUGCACGCCUGAAGGUUAGCGGCGGACGGGUGAGUAACACGUAGGCAACCUGCCCUCAAGACUGGGAUAACUACCGGAAACGGUAGCUAAUACCGGAUAAUUUAUUUUGCAGCAUUGUGGAAUAAUGAAAGGCGGAGUAAUCUGUCACUUGAGGAUGGGCCUGCGGCGCAUUAGCUAGUUGGUGGGGUAACGGCCCACCAAGGCGACGAUGCGUAGCCGACCUGAGAGGGUGAACGGCCACACUGGGACUGAGACACGGCCCAGACUCCUACGGGAGGCAGCAGUAGGGAAUCUUCCGCAAUGGGCGAAAGCCUGACGGAGCAACGCCGCGUGAGUGAUGAAGGUUUUCGGAUCGUAAAGCUCUGUUGCCAAGGAAGAACGUCUUCUAGAGUAACUGCUAGGAGAGUGACGGUACUUGAGAAGAAAGCCCCGGCUAACUACGUGCCAGCAGCCGCGGUAAUACGUAGGGGGCAAGCGUUGUCCGGAAUUAUUGGGCGUAAAGCGCGCGCAGGCGGUUCUUUAAGUCUGGUGUUUAAACCCGAGGCUCAACUUCGGGUCGCACUGGAAACUGGGGGACUUGAGUG